rnacentral:rRNA from 1 species
UACAGAGGGUGCAAGCGUUGUUCGGAAUUAUUGGGCGUAAAGCGCGUGUAGGCGGCCUAGCAAGUUGGGUGUGAAAGCCCUCGGCUUAACCGAGGAAGUGCGCCCAAAACUACAAGGCUUGAGUGCCGGAGAGGGUGGCGGAAUUCCCGGUGUAGAGGUGAAAUUCGUAGAUAUCGGGAGGAACACCAGUGGCGAAGGCGGCCACCUGGACGGUAACUGACGCUGAGACGCGAAAGCGUGGGGAGCAAACAGGAUUAGAUACCCCUGUAGUCC